rnacentral:rRNA from 1 species
AUUGAACGCUGGCGGCAUGCCUUACACAUGCAAGUCGAACGGCAGCACGGGAGCAAUCCUGGUGGCGAGUGGCGAACGGGUGAGUAAUACAUCGGAACGUGCCCAAUCGUGGGGGAUAACGCAGCGAAAGCUGUGCUAAUACCGCAUACGAUCUACGGAUGAAAGCAGGGGAUCGCAAGACCUUGCGCGAAUGGAGCGGCCGAUGGCAGAUUAGGUAGUUGGUGAGGUAAAGGCUCACCAAGCCGUCGAUCUGUAGCUGGUCUGAGAGGACGACCAGCCACACUGGGACUGAGACACGGCCCAGACUCCUACGGGAGGCAGCAGUGGGGAAUUUUGGACAAUGGGCGAAAGCCUGAUCCAGCCAUGCCGCGUGCAGGAUGAAGGCCUUCGGGUUGUAAACUGCUUUUGUACGGAACGAAACGGCCUUUUCUAAUAAAGAGGGCUAAUGACGGUACCGUAAGAAUAAGCACCGGCUAACUACGUGCCAGCAGCCGCGGUAAUACGUAGGGUGCAAGCGUUAAUCGGAAUUACUGGGCGUAAAGCGUGCGCAGGCGGUUAUGUAAGACAGUUGUGAAAUCUCCGGGCUCACCUGGGGAACUGCUUCUGUGACUGCAUGCUGGAGUACGUAGAGGGGGAUGGAAUUC